UCCCUGGUGGCUCAGACAGUAAAGCGUCUGCCUGAAAUGCGGGAGACCCAGGUUCAAUCCCUGGGUUGGGAA
rnacentral:tRNA from 1 species